GUUCACGAUUGAAUUCUUUUAGAUUGCUUGUUCAAGGUGCAGUUAGGCGUCUGCAGAAAUCGAAUUAUCAACUCACAAGAGAACAUCUCAUUGAAGCAGUAUCAUGAAUAUUGCAGUUUGUUCUACCUUUUCCUUGGUUUCUUUGGUGUUCCGAUGAGAUCUGGUUGCAGUAUCAUGGAUAGUUUCUUGAUGAAGUUGUUUUCUGGAAUCUGGAGUACCAUCAAGUGUGUGGUUGAGUUAUUGAGCUGAUGAUGUAUCUCCUGUUUCAAUAAUGUUGAUUUCAGCACCCUGACGGGUGCACUCAAUUUUGCAUUAAUGGUUUCAGAGAUCUCACCAAACCCCUCACGAAGAGUCUGUAAGCUUUCACCUUCAAGGCCGCAAUGGAGUAAAGCCCGACUUCAGUGCAUGCAUGUGCAUGUCGACAGACUCGUACAAGCUCAUACACCACCACCAUGCUUUUCUUUGGCCACUGAGUUGGAGCAUUCAUUCGGCUAUAACUUCCUUCGCAUGUGAUCUGCUGAUUCCAUGUCAGACAUAUCUGAAUUCCCAAAUCUCCACUCGACUCAGAUUGAGGGAAAAAAGAAAAAGAAAAAGGUAAAUUGGUACAUCAUUGAGGCCUCUCUCUCCGGUAUAAGUAGGAAUGGAGAGUGGAGCAAAGGUCCGUUGAACAUGGAGAAGUCGAGCAUGGUGGUGGUGCUGUUCCUUGCAUUGUUUCUGUCUUCCUUUGCCGGAGGCCUUGAAGCAAGAGAACUCAAAAACGAGCCCAUGUCGUACCAGCCUCAGAACUUCCCUGGAGCAUUUGGAGGCUUCCCGGGCUUUAGUUUCGGCCAGCCAUUCCGUGGAUCCAUCCCCACCAUUCCGGGCUUCGGAAACUUGCCAGGGAUUCCCGGCGGCGGCAUUGGCGGCCAUCAGGUUGCUACGCCAUGAUCGAGUGGGCAGUGCCAUCAAGCUCGUGCUGUGAUCAUAAAUCGUAUGUGUGAAGAGCAGCUAUAUAUAUGUAGGUUGCUGCGGUUGUGGUUUCUUGCUUUGUGAUCAGGAAAGAGUUGUGAGAGAGUUCUAAGUUAGCUCUUGGUUUGCUGUGUGUUGUUUGCCUGCAUGCUAAUGUUGUGAUUGCUUUCGUCUUUCUGGACUAGUGAAAACUCUGUUUGUUUUCUUUCUCUA